AGUUACAGCUGCUUGCCCUGGGAGCCAGUGCAAAGAAGAGUGGUGUCCUGGAGGUUUCCUGUGUGUUGUGCAAAUCCUGUUAGCUCCUUGGGAAGGGACUGCAGUCUCUGAGUUGAGAUGGUAAUGCAGACCACCAUCAGGCAAUCACUCUUCAUCCUAGCAGGACGAACCGCGGGACAAAGGCUCUGUGGCGGCAGCUACUCAGCUCAGCGAGGAGGGGAGACCAUGGCCACCCGGGGUGCCUCUACCCCCGGCGCACCCGCCUUUGUCUGCCCCGCCGCCGUGAUCCGGGUCUGCAUGAAGCGGGCGCCAUCGUGUGGCCAGAAUCUGGUAUUGCAGUGCAGGUGGCACGGCGGGACCACGAGAAUGUUGAUAACAUCAUGGUGGUCACUACAUUGGAUGUAAAGAUGCCUUCUAUUAUGUGUGUUGUGUAUAGAUGUACUUCUAAUCAGGGGAUCUGAGCAAACGCCAGGAUAAAAAGGAGGAAAUUACGUACUUGCCUAUGUAUAGUGAAGAAAAGAUAUCUAGACUCAUGAUUGAGAAUACUUGCUAACACUGUUGUCUGACUCCUCUUGGGAUACCUCUGGGACCUCACAAAAGAAUAGAAUUCCAGUACUGCUGGGUGACCUACAGAAACUGUUUAGAACUCAAGAGCGGGAGAGUGGUUUCUAAUUCUUAUGACCAUUCAAUACCAUGGCCGCAUGUACUCUUUCUCAAACUAAAGCAUUUCAUAGUCAAAAUAAAAAAUAUGUCUGAGACG